CGUGUAGGCGGUUUGUCUAGUCAGAUGUGAAAGCCCCGGGCUUAACCUGGGAACUGCAUUUGAUACUGGCAGGCUAGAGGUUGGAAGAGGAGAGUGGAAUUCCCAGUGUAGAGGUGAAAUUCGUAGAUAUUGGGAAGAACACCAGUGGCGAAGGCGGCUCUCUGGUCCACACCUGACGCUGAGGCGCGAAAGCGUGGGGAGCAAACA
rnacentral:rRNA from 1 species